CAGUCGCCACGGGAAUACGUAGGGUGCAAGCGUUAAUCGGAAUUACUGGGCGUAAAGCGUGCGCAGGCGGUUUUGUAAGACAGAGGUGAAAUCCCCGGGCUCAACCUGGGAACUGCCUUUGUGACUGCAAGGCUAGAGUACGGCAGAGGGGGAUGGAAUUCCGCGUGUAGCAGUGAAAUGCGUAGAUAUGCGGAGGAACACCGAUGGCUAAGGCAAUCCCCUGGGCCUGUACUGACGCUCAUGCACGAAAGCGUGGGGAGCAAACAGGAUUAGAUACCCCAGUAGUCCCUGUCUCUUAUAC
rnacentral:rRNA from 1 species